ACAAAACUUUUCAUAUAGUUUUGAUACGUCUGCAGUUGACACGAACGCAGAUGCAAGACUCGUUUAAAUGCCAAUAGAUUGGACCUCGUAUCUUCCUGUCUACAAGCAAAUAUUAAUAAUUCCGUAAUAGAUACUGUCAAAACAUUGGAGCAUACAGUGGCGUUUGUCGUUAAGAGUAUCGACAGACUACUUAAUAAAAAACAACUGCGAACAAAAAAAACAAAAAACAAAAAACAAAAACAAAAAACCCUGGCCCAUGGUUGAACCCAAGCGCCGACUUGACGGAGCGCAGUAUUUCCGAGGAGCACCUGAAGGCACCGGAGAAGACAGAGCGGUUCCCCGCCACAACACGAGCUGCGUCAACUGUCUCCGCCCGCCGCUCGCUCGCCGAGGACUCAGCCGGGACGAGGACCGAGGCGCCGGCCCGACCGACUUGUACCUGUGCGCGGGGCUCCCCGUGGAGGAUGUUGACCGGACUGGGUUCGGUCGGGGGACUUUGUGCCAGCGUUUCCCUCGAAACGGUCGCCUCAGCAAACGCCGUUGUCGUCGCACGAGUGUUUGGGGACCUGCGAGUGGAUAACUAUGCCACAGAUCCACGUGAGGCCCGAUCAGAGCUAGUGCACACGGGCCCGCGUGUGGCCAUGUACUGCAAGCUGCGACUGUGACCGUGCUAUCAAGGAAAUUCCUCCGUCCUCCAGGGCCACCUCCGUGGGUUCUCUAUCUGGUGGUUUGUACAGCUGCACAAGCUUCUGUUUCCACAACACGGACACACAAAGCACACUCUGUAUGGACGUGCUGUCUUAGUAACUCAAGAGGUCACUGAAAAAGUUUUUUUUUUGAUAUGCCCCGGCGCAGACUCUUGCCAAUGAUGCCGCGCUGAAAUUGAAAAAAAGAGACACUUGGGACUGUUGCGUAGCAUGACCUGAGGUGCAUUCUUCUGAUCAUCUAAGUAAGUAACACGAUGAAAUAAUUGAAAACGGAUUUAGAUUGUGUAAAUCAAUUAGUUGAACAUAGAAAUGUGUUCCUGGCUUGAGGAAGGCUAAAUGGAAAAGUAUAUUUUCCUGAUGUUGUGGAAGAGCAGUGAGCAUAUGCACUAUCCAGAGACAUCAGGACUCACUAACCAUACCCAUCUGGACCAGCCGAGUUGGUAAACAUGACAUUGAUAUCACCUUACAAAAUGUAUCGUGUUUGAAGUCUGCAAAUUGAAUUUCCUCUUCAAAUUUAAUUUCCUCUUGCUGCUCUACGGAGCCACUGAUUGAGAUGGAAGCAGUCACUUCUCAAAUAUAAGGAAUUUCUUAGGAAAAUGUAUAUGACUGAUGCUUGAGGGCUUAAGUGAAAUUUCGAAAGAUCUUCUAAACCCUAUUAAGUUUGAUUUCCCCUGCUUCACUGUCCUCAACAUCAGAAAGGUUGCCUCUUUUCAAAGCUGCAGCAAAACAAGUGACAAGAGAGACAACGAG
rnacentral:lncRNA from 1 species